ensembl:antisense Bach2os BTB and CNC homology 2, opposite strand
GUGUUCUUUAAGAGGUCAAGGGUAUGGCUAGUCUGCCCUGAAUCUGGGAGUUAUUUGUUGGUUGCAUCAGAUAGUCAUGAGGCUCAGUCCUGGUAUUUGUGCCCAGUUGAUCACCAUGCACAAAGGCUGAAUGACUCCUCACCCUGUAUCAUAGCCUUCAGUUCUAAGGUGGAGAUUGACAGAACCCAAUCAGAAAACAAAACAAAACAAAAAUAAACCACAACAAGAACAA